UCCCUGGUGGCUCAGAUGGUAAAGAAUCUGCCUGCAAAGCAGGAGACCCAGGUUCGAUCCCUGGCUCAGGAA
rnacentral:tRNA from 1 species